UCACUAUGGUUCCUCCAAAUGUUUCAAUCUCUGCCAAUGCUCGCAUCGGAGCUGGUGUGAGGCUUGUCAGUUGUAUUAUUCUUGAUGAUGUUGAAAUCCAGGAAAACGCUGUUGUAAUCCACGCAAUUAUUGGAUGGAAGUCUUCCAUCGGAAGGUGGUCAAGAGUCCAAGCUUCAGGAGAUUACAAUGCAAAGCUCGGAGUCACAAUUCUUGGUGAAUCUGUAACAGUAGAAGAUGAAGUUGUGGUAAUCAACAGCAUUGUCCUUCCAAACAAGACUCUUAACGUAAGUGUUCAAGAAGAAAUUAUACUUUAGUGCACUGAUAUUUUUCGACGAGGCUUCUUCUACAACUACAAACUCGACUCCUUUUAUGCAUAUUUUGUACCUUUAUUGUUGCACCUUAUAGUUUUAUUGAAUUCGAAAAAUGCAGUUUUCACUUUUUUUUUUAAUUUGUAAAUUGACAUUGGCAUGGUUGGAAUAAAAGAAAUUUUACUUUUUUA